CCACCCAAAAGGAGAAACCCUAGGAAACCUCUAGGAAGAGGAGCGCUGCCGUACACCGCCGCCAACAUCGUCGGAGAAGCCAAUCCAAUAGAAAACAAAGUCGGAGGAGAAGUUUUGAUAAUCAUGCUUGGGAGAGAAACCACUUAGCUUACUGAUAUAGUCUCGUUUGUUUAUUCCUACCAAACAUAUGACUAUGUUUUCGUAGGAAAUUGGAAAAGUUGGUCCCAAUGGCGGACCCAUGUGGUGAAAAGAGGGGUCAUUUGACACCCUUUAGUUUUAAAUCGGGAAAAUUCCCGAAAAAAACCCAACUUAUUUAAAAUCUGCCAGAAAACUACCUAAACCCGUUUUAAAUAGUUUGAGAUUUUUAGGAAAUUUUCCGGUUUAAAUCUUAAAUAGUUUUCAUCUUGUUUCGGUGACUGAUUUGGUAUGAAGCUACAAUUUUGACCCCCACCCCCA
rnacentral:sRNA from 1 species